rnacentral:rRNA from 1 species
GACGUAGGGGGGCAAGCGUUGUCCGGAUUUAUUGGGCGUAAAGAGCGUGUAGGCGGCCAGAUAGGUCCGUUGUGAAAACUCGAGGCUCAACCUCGAGACGCCGAUGGAAACCAUUUGGCUAGAGUCCGGAAGAGGAGAGUGGAAUUCCUGGUGUAGCGGUGAAAUGCGCAGAUAUCAGGAAGAACACCCGUGGCUAAGGCGGCUCUCUAGUACGGUACUGACGCUGAGACGCGAAAGCGUGGGGAGCGAACAGG